GCUGUGGCAAAAUUUUUGCCAUAAUGACAAUUACAGAGUUCUAGUUUUCAAUAGUAGUAUUAAAUACAGAACACAAAGAGAAGCUCAAGUCGUACUUGAAAGUGCUUCACCAGCACAAGACAUUCAAGACAAGAAAAUAUUGGUUUGAAAAAUGGGAAUUGAUUUAUCUGUUCAGUAAAAAGUCUUGGAAAACACCAAAACUACAGUUCAUAGAGAAAGAGAAAAUAGCUAUUCAGUGCCCUCUGUGCCUUUUCUUAACAAAGGGUUUGGGGCACCCUUCCUCCCACUACAGUAGUGCUUGGUGCUAUAAAAAUGUGGCAGUUUUGGGCUUUGUUUUGGGUUUGGUGGGAGGUUUUCAGUUGUUUAUUUGGGGAAUUCUUUGUUGUUUUUUUGGUAAUGUACUUCAUGGAGAUGCCUAAGCAAUAUUCUGGUCUUGAGAUAUCUGGGCUUAUACAUUUGCAUGCCUGGAAUAUUGUCUUGGCAUCCUUGCCUUUAUGCAAAGUGAAGUGAAGCAUUGCCUCAAAUUUAACUUAGCUGCAAGAAAGGCAGUUUUAUUUGUAAGUGAAAUUAAAUUAAUAUAUGCACUCUGACAUGUCUCAAGGCAAGUGAAAGUCUUUGUUUUAGACAUAUUUACAUAAUUUUCUAUGCCUUUUGCAUCUUGUUGUCAUUCCACCUUAUAUUUCUACAUUUCCUGUAUCUCAGAGAACACACAAAUGGAAAAUGAAGCUAAAAAAGCUUUGAAGAAAAGCUUUAAAAAUCUUCUAUUUGGAUUCUGGAAAAUAGCUCAUUAAUUACAGCUGGAAAUAUGAAAUGUGAAAGGCUGCCAGCAGAGUCAGCUCAGUUUUAGUUUGCCUGCCUGGCAUCAGAGCUGCGAGAUGAGUGACCCCACGUUCCUACUCCUUGUUUUGUAUUUGAGGAUGAUGAUACAGCCAAAGCAUGUUGAAAUUACAGCUCCCAUCUAUCACAUGAAGAGCAGCAAUCACCAGCAUUUAAUAAUCACAGCCUUCAGAAUGCAACACGAGCUACAAAAGCAUACAAAUAGGCUGGGAGCAUGCAGAGUUACGGAGGAAGGAACAGCGUGUUCCUCAAAAUUUGCAAGCACCCUUUUGGAGGACUGCUGUGAAGGAGAACUGCCAUGGAGGUUGGCACCAGUCCUUGUGCCAAGGCUUGCUGUGGAUUAUUCUGGACCAAUGGCUUCCCCAGCAGUAGAUGCUAUUGAGAUUUCUCACACAGCUUUCAUGCUCCAUCCUUUGGAAAAUCCUUGGAACGUGUUCUGGCUAUCAGGGAGUGAAAUUUUUGGGUGGGCUGCUUGCCUGGUGUAUAACAAUCUGGGCAGAAUGGAUACCUUUGGAUUUCUACAGUUCAACUAGCAAUUGAUUUUCUCUGGAGACAGAAUUAGGGUUGCCAAGACAGUUUCUUGGCCCAGUUAGCAUUUACACUGUGGGCUCGCACUGGAAAGCCAUGCAGGCAUAUCUGGGGAUGUCUUCAGUCAGCAUAGGGUGGGUUGACUGUAUUGUUUGACCAGGUUUUGUGUGUGUCUUUCAUUUGUUUAUGCCUGCAAAUAGACCAUAUCGUCAGUUCCAGAUUAAAACCUUAUUGAAAAACUAUGAUUGCUUGUUUUCCAGGAAAACUAUGAAAAUUGUGAAUAAUCCCUGUUACAUUUUCUUUUUCUGAAGGAUAUUUAUUAAUGUUUUGUCCAGAUUGAACAAGGAAAACCUACUCUUUUUAAUUUCCUAUUCCACAUCUACUAAGGUAAUGGCUACCAAAGUAGAACAAGAGUGGCAUAACACAGCAAUGUUUGGCAUUGCAAAAUCCCAAGAGGGUUGAAAUCUCAGCAACCUUUUCCCAUAAAAUAAAUAGCUUAAAUUUAAAAUGAAAUUAAGCA
rnacentral:lncRNA from 1 species